rnacentral:rRNA from 1 species
CCCUUAGAUGUUCUGGGCAGCACGCGCGCUACAAUGGUCUUCGCAAACGGAUGCAUUCUCGAAGGAGAAUGCCAAUCUUGGAAUCUAUGCCUUGGUCGGGACAGUUGCUUGCAAUUUUUCGACUCGAACCAGGAAUUCCUUGUAAUCGUGAUUCAUCACAUCACGAUGAAUACGUCCCUGCCCUUUGUACACACCGCCCGUCGCUCCUACCGAUUGGGUGAUCCGGUGAAUGAUUUGGACUCUGGUUAUGCUAGCUACUAGCUGUGUCAGGGAAAACUUUGUGAACCUUAUCACUUGGAGGAAGGAGAAGUCGUAACA